rnacentral:rRNA from 1 species
CUUUAGAAUAGAAUUUAAGGUCUAACCUGCCCAUUGAUUAUUUUAACGGCCGCAGUAUUUUGACUGUGCAAAGGUAGCAUAAUCAUUAGUUUUUUAAUUGAAAGCUUGUAUGAAUGGUUGGACGAGAUAUAAUCUGUCUUUGAGUUAAAGAUAGAAUUUAAUUUUUAAGUGAAAAAGCUUAAAUGAAUUUAAAAGACGAGAAGACCCUAUAGAUCUUUAUAAAAAUAAAAAUUUAAUUUUUAAGGAUUAUUAAUUUUUAUAUUUUUAUAUUUAUUUAGUUGGGGUAAUGGAGAGAUUUAACUAAUUCUUUAUAUUUAAAACAUUGAUAAAUGAUUUUAUUGAUCCAUUAUUUUUGAUUAUAAGAUUAAGUUACCUUAGGGAUAACAGCGUAAUUUUUUUUGAGAGUUCUUAUUGAUAAAAAAGUUUGCGACCUCGAUGUUGGAUUAAAAUUAAUUUUGGGUGCAGAAGUUCAAAAUUUUAGUCUGUUCGACUAUUAAAAUUUUACAUGAUCUGAGUUCAAACCGGUGUAAGCCAGGUUGGUUUCUAUCUUUAAUUAAUUAAUUUAUUUUAGUACGAAAGGACCAAAUAUUUGGUAUAUAAUAUUUUAAAUUUUGAAUAAAA